GAUGAACGCUGGCGGCGUGCUUAACACAUGCAAGUCGAACGAAGAUGCCGGAGUGCUUGCACUUUGGCAGACUGAGUGGCGGACGGGUGAGUAACGCGUGGGUAACCUGCCUUAUACAGGGGGAUAACAGUUGGAAACGACUGCUAAUACCGCAUAAGCGCACAGCUUCGCAUGAAGCAGUGUGAAAAACUCCGGUGGUACAAGAUGGACCCGCGUCUGAUUAGCUAGUUGGUGAGGUAACGGCCCACCAAGGCGACGAUCAGUAGCCGGCCUGAGAGGGUGAACGGCCACAUUGGGACUGAGACACGGCCCAAACUCCUACGGGAGGCAGCAGUGGGGAAUAUUGCACAAUGGGGGAAACCCUGAUGCAGCAACGCCGCGUGAGUGAAGAAGUAUUUCGGUAUGUAAAGCUCUAUCAGCAGGAAAGAAAAUGACGGUACCUGACUAAGAAGCCCCGGCUAACUACGUG
rnacentral:rRNA from 1 species